rnacentral:lncRNA from 1 species
UGAGUAUCUAAGUACUAAUGCCAGUACCCAAGCACUGAUUCUUAGUACUAGCCAUACCAGUACUAGCACUAAUACCAGUACCUAAGUACAACUAAUAAUAACAAUGUUGGGGAAUUCACUGUCUUAGAAAACUGCUGCCAUGAAUGCAGGAAGCUGGAAGCCAUACUCUGAUGUCAUUAGAGUGACAACAGAUGCCUGUUUCUUCCCCCAUUUCCCAAUUUCAGAGGGCAAGUACAGAGCUUUUUCUUUACAUUCUGUACACUUACCUUCUGGCUGCCUGAAGCCUACAGUUUCCUGAUUAAACAUGAGAUUCUUCCAUCUGGUAAAUUAUCCUCCAUCACAGACAUCACGCCAUGGGAGUGUGCAUGCCCCAUGCAGAAGCUCAGUAGGGCACUUGGUAUGUUAUGACCAAAAGCUCCUACAGUAUGAGUCAGGUGAGUGCAGUUACUGUUGGAUUGGCUUUGGACAUAGUUCUAAUUCCAGUAAGGAGAAAACAGCCAAUGGGGGAUCCAGUCCAGGAUUCUGCCCUGACAGUUGCUCUGAGAACCGCUGUGUGAAGCAGCUCAACUGCCCGCCCCGUGACGGUGCAUGCGUCCCUCCCGACCCUGCAGUUACAGACACAUCAAAGGACAGAAAAAUGGCAACUCAAGAAGUGUCUCUUCCCUCACAUCUGACAAAGAUUCGCUGAGAACCACACUGCAUAUCAAGAGAGCUGGCUGAGAGCGCAGGCCAGUAGGCUGGGGCUCGAAAUCACAGCUUUAGGUACCCUUCAGGCUGUAGCCAAUGCCUCCUGCCCAUCCUCCUCUCCAUCAGUAUCUACCUAGGGCAAAUGCCAGACAUUGCUUCUUUAUAAAACAGACUAGGCAUGGUAUAUAACAUUGUCUACAUUUUGCUUGAAUCUUAUGUAAAAGAAGAGAGAGAAAACGCAAUUCAAUGUUUGCAAGGAAAAUAAAAUCUGUUUACAUGCCAGUGACCUUGAGUGCAAAUUAUCUGCUACCUCAACCAAACAUUGGAAGUUUGAUUUUUCCUUUACUUCAAUGAAGGGCAAUAGGGGACUGAGUGUUUGAGACAGAAUAUAGGUACUAAGGUACCAUUAGGUAUUCUGCUCUUGUAUCUGACUUCAGGAAACACUUUGUCCCAGCCAAAGCAAUGACUCAUCCCAUGCCACCAGUGUUACAAUAGGAGCUUGAUUUGCUGCAGUAGAGCAAACAGCGCAACACUCCUUAGA